AGAGUUUGAUCCUGGCUCAGAUUGAACGCUGGCGGCAGGCCUAACACAUGCAAGUCGAGCGGAUGAGAGGAGCUUGCUCCUUGAUUUAGCGGCGGACGGGUGAGUAAUGCCUAGGAAUCUGCCUAGUGGUGGGGGAUAACGUUCCGAAAGGAACGCUAAUACCGCAUACGUCCUACGGGAGAAAGCGGGGGAUCUUCGGACCUCGCGCCAUUAGAUGAGCCUAGGUCGGAUUAGCUAGUAGGUGAGGUAAUGGCUCACCUAGGCGACGAUCCGUAACUGGUCUGAGAGGAUGAUCAGUCACACUGGAACUGAGACACGGUCCAGACUCCUACGGGAGGCAGCAGUGGGGAAUAUUGGACAAUGGGCGAAAGCCUGAUCCAGCCAUGCCGCGUGUGUGAAGAAGGUCUUCGGACUGUAAAGCACUUUAAGUUGGGAGGAAGGGUAUUCACCUAAUACGUGAGUAUUUUGACGUUACCGACAGAAUAAGCACCGGCUAACUUCGUGCCAGCAGCCGCGGUAAUACGAAGGGUGCAAGCGUUAUCCGGAAUUAUUGGGCGUAAAGAGCUCGUAGGCGGUUUGUCGCGUCUGCUGUGAAAUCCCGAGGCUCAACCUCGGGCCUGCAGUGGGUACGGGCAGACUAGAGUGCGGUAGGGGAGAUUGGAAUUCCUGGUGUAGCGGUGGAAUGCGCAGAUAUCAGGAGGAACACCGAUGGCGAAGGCAGAUCUCUGGGCCGUAACUGACGCUGAGGAGCGAAAGGGUGGGGAGCAAACAGGCUUAGAUACCCUGGUAGUCCACCCCGUAAACGUUGGGAACUAGUUGUGGGGACCAUUCCACGGUUUCCGUGACGCAGCUAACGCAUUAAGUUCCCCGCCUGGGGAGUACGGCCGCAAGGCUAAAACUCAAAGGAAUUGACGGGGACCCGCACAAGCGGCGGAGCAUGCGGAUUAAUUCGAUGCAACGCGAAGAACCUUACCAAGGCUUGACAUAUACGAGAACGGGCCAGAAAUGGUCAACUCUUUGGACACUCGUAAACAGGUGGUGCAUGGUUGUCGUCAGCUCGUGUCGUGAGAUGUUGGGUUAAGUCCCGCAACGAGCGCAACCCUCGUUCUAUGUUGCCAGCACGUAAUGGUGGGAACUCAUGGGAUACUGCCGGGGUCAACUCGGAGGAAGGUGGGGAUGACGUCAAAUCAUCAUGCCCCUUAUGUCUUGGGCUUCACGCAUGCUACAAUGGCCGGUACAAAGGGCUGCAAUACCGCGAGGUGGAGCGAAUCCCAAAAAGCCGGUCCCAGUUCGGAUUGAGGUCUGCAACUCGACCUCAUGAAGUCGGAGUCGCUAGUAAUCGCAGAUCAGCAACGCUGCGGUGAAUACGUUCCCGGGUCUUGUACACACCGCCCGUCAAGUCAUGAAAGUCGGUAACACCUGAAGCCGGUGGCCCAACCCUUGUGGAGGGAGCCGUCGAAGGUGGGAUCGGUAAUUAGGACUAAGUCGUAACAAGGUAACC
rnacentral:rRNA from 1 species